rnacentral:rRNA from 1 species
UACGGAGGGUGCAAGCGUUGUUCGGAAUCACUGGGCGUAAAGCGUGCGUAGGUGGCGUGUUAAGUGAGAUGUGAAACCGUGUGGCUCAACCAUACGUUGUGUCUCAUACUGGCAUGCUAGAGGACAGCAGAGGCAAGUGGAAUUACGAGUGUAGCAGUGAAAUGCGUAGAUAUUCGUAGGAACACCAAUGGCGAAGGCAGCUUGCUGGGCUACUCCUGACACUGAGGUACGAAAGCGUGGGGAGCGAACAGG